rnacentral:rRNA from 1 species
GAUAAACGCUGGCGGCGUGCCUAAAACAUGCAAGUCGAACGGGCAUCUGCUUUCGGGUGGGUGUCAGUGGCGAACGGCUGAGGAACGCGUGGGUGACCUGCCGUGUGGUGGGGGAUAGCCUCUCGAAAGAGGGGUAAGACCGCAUGAGCUCGUGAGAGCAAAACCCUUUGGGGUGCCAGGCGAGGGGCCCGCGUCCGAUUAGCUCGUUGGUGGGGUAAGAGCCCACCAAGGCGACGAUCGGAGCUGGUCUGAGAGGAUGAUCAGCCAGACU